rnacentral:rRNA from 1 species
UGCCAGCCGCCGCGGUAAUACGGAGGGAGCGAGCGUUAAUCGGAAUUACUGGGCAUAAAGCGCGCGUAGGCGGCUUUUUAAGUCAGAUGUGAAAUAUCUCGGCUCAACCGAGAAAACGCACUGGAAACUGUCAAGCUUGAGUAUCGGAGGGGAAGCUAGAAUUCCUGGUGUAGGGGUGAAAUCUGUAGAUAUCAGGAAGAAUACCGGUGGCGAAGGCGAGCUUCUGGCCAGAUACUGACGCUGAGAUGCGAAAGCGUGGGGAGCGAACAGGAUUAGAUA